AGUAACACGUGGAUAACCUACCUAUAAGACUGGGAUAACUUCGGGAAACCGGAGCUAAUACCGGAUAAUAUUUUGAACCGCAUGGUUCAAAAGUGGAAGACGGUCUUGCUGUCACUUAUAGAUGGAUCCGCGCUGCAUUAGCUAGUUGGUAAGGUAACGGCUUACCAAGGCAACGAUGCAUAGCCGACCUGAGAGGGUGAUCGGCCACACUGGAACUGAGACACGGUCCAG
rnacentral:rRNA from 1 species